rnacentral:lncRNA from 1 species
GCCUCUCUCCUAUACCAUUCUUUCGCCUUCACAUUGCAGUACCCGAGACCCAACCCACCGCACCGACCUUCCUUGAUCACCCUAAACCCAACCCACAUCGUCUCGUGUUUUCUUCCUUGGAAUUAUAGAGAUAUCACAAGCACAAAAAUCUUCACCUCCCUGAGUUGUUGUUUUUCCAUUCCAAUGAAGAAGAAGGGAACCAAACGAAAGGAUGAAGCAGCCUCCACUGAGCGGCCGCCGCAGCAGCAGGAGAAUACAAAGCGCGCUAAGGUGUAAUAAUUUUGUUGAAAAUUUGCUGAUUUGUUAUUGAUGCAAUUUGGAAAUUUCAUUACAAUUUUGGAAGAUGGGGUCAAAAGUCCAAUAGUUUAUGGGAAGUACUGUUCAGUUUGGGAUCGGUUUUAUUUUGGCAGACCUGAGAAUAUGUUUGUUAUAGUUUUGAGUUAGCAAAGGUUUAUGGGAAUUUGUAAAGUUUGUAGGCCUUUUAAUAGAGCUGGUGUACUUCUAUGAGGUCGGUCUUUCUUUUUUUUGUUUUCUGUUUGUUGUUGUUUUGAUCUUUAAUUGCGUAUUUUCAUAUUGUAAUGUUUGUGCAAUUACGAUAUUGUAAUGAUUAGGUGUCAAAAAGUAUUGACCCGUACUCAACCCGAACCAACCUGGACCCAUUUCAACCCGACAAAAUUGCCCCUUGAUGUACAAUCUCUUUAAAAAAAACAUUUUUUUAACCAACCCGACCGACCCGAAACCCGUUCUGACCCGAAUGUAGAUCCCAAUAUCAAUCCGGAUCACAGUGGUUGGUUGUUUUAGCCCAAAACACCUAUUGAUUAAGUUGUUUGAACUAUGAAAAGUUAAGAAUGAUCAAAGAUGAAGGUGAAGCUAAUGGAUUAAUGAAUACAACAAGUGUUGUAUUGAAUCCAAACAAUAAUAUAAAACAGUAGAGCACCUAGGAUAUCAGAUUAGAGCACAAGAACAAUGAUAGAAUGUAAACAACACCAAUAUUCAUUAAGAGAGCCAAAAGCUUGAAGUGGUUACAAUACAAUGGCUAUUUAUAGUGUUCCUGACUUGCCAGCAAAUUUAUAAAUUUGCUGGAAUCUUAACUACACUAGGUCAGAAAUCCUAAUUCUAUAGAAUUACAAAAUAAGCCCCUAUACUAUUAAAUUAGCUACAAACCACUAUAAAACUAAUCCAACACAAGUAUGAACGAUCUCAAAAGUUCCAACACCGAACCCGUUCCGAUCCGAACCCGUUUCGACCCGAACCAAAUCAACCCUUUAUUUAUUUGAUCCGUUUUGACCCGUGACCCGACCCGACUCGUUUGCCAGGUCUAGGUUUUACUUUGCUAGCGGGCACACUUACCCCUCUAUGGUUUGGUUUGAUUAUGUCAGAUCAAUAUCGCCAGUUAUUAGGAGCAGUAUAUGUUAGCCACAAUCUUCAUUUUCUGC